AACGAACGCUGGCGGCGUGCUUAACACAUGCAAGUCGAACGCGAACGUCUUUUUCGGAAGAUUAGUAGAGUGGCGCACGGGUGAGUAACGCGUAAGUAAUCUACCCUGGUAUCUGGGAUAACCCACCGAAAGGUGUGCUAAUACCGGAUACGCUGAUUUAUCAGGAAAGGUGGCCUCUUCAUGAAAGCUACUGUACCAGGAGGAGCUUGCGUACCAUUAGCUAGUUGGUAGGGUAAUGGCCUACCAAGGCGACGAUGGUUAGCGGGUCUGAGAGGAUGAUCCGCCACACUGGAACUGAAACACGGACCAGACUCCUACGGGAGGCAGCAGUGAGGAAUAUUGCGCAAUGGGGGAAACCCUGACGCAGCGACGCCGCGUGGAUGAUGAAGGCCUUCGGGUCGUAAAAUCCUGUCAGGUGGAAAGAAGUGUAUAUUGCCUAAUACGUGAUAUAUUUGACGGUACCAUCAAAGGAAGCACCGGCUAACUCCGUGCCAGCAGCCGCGGUAAUACGGAGGGUGCAAGCGUUGUUCGGAAUUACUGGGCGUAAAGCGCGCGUAGGCGGUUUGUUA
rnacentral:rRNA from 1 species